UUUCCCUAAAGGAGAUUGUCUACUAGCGC
rnacentral:piRNA from 1 species